UCCAUUCACUAAUUAAAACACAGUUCAAUACCAACACAUAUUUUCCUUAUUCAAUUUAAUUUUUCCAAAUUCAAUUCAAUAAAGUUACUUACCUUAUUAUAUGCUUACCAUACACAUAAUUUAAAUUUAACAUCAAAUAAUAAAUAAUUUGAAUUAUAGUAAUACAAACCGGAAUUCUCUUCGGAUUUAAUUCUCGACGAUUUUUUCUUUUCCUUUUUGGGCCGAUGCUUCAGGCUCGAUAUUAGCUACGGGCAAUUAAAAUAAUUUCACAAUCAUUAGCACAAAACAAUUUAAUUGCUGAAAUUUUUAUCUAACUUUUACUUUAAUUCUAAUUCAAUCCUAACUAACCUAUAUAUUUUUCUUUCUCAAUCCAUACCUUUUUACUACUUAAUUUCCUACCAAACUCACAUUUAACUAUCUAAUUUUUAUCAUAUUUUCAUAAUUUAGAAUUUAUUUCAAUUUAAUCCCUAAAAUUCAAAACUUAUAGUUUAGUUCACAAUUUAAUCCUUUUAUCAACUCUAACUAGAAACUCUAUCAAAUAAACCAUCAAUUCCAUCAUUUAUUCAACAUAAACCCUACUCAAAAAUCUAUUAACUUUCAAAUUUUCAACUUAAAUCCAAGAGUAUUUCACUCUAGGAUUCUAAAAACAUCAAAUUUAUGAGAAAAUGACUUGAUUUAGCUUACCUAUUAAACUUCAAGUUUCAAAUCCCUAGUUUCCCUUUU
rnacentral:lncRNA from 1 species